rnacentral:rRNA from 1 species
UGCAGAAUCCCGUGAACCAUCGAGUUUUUGAACGCAAGUUGCGCCCGAGGCCAGCUGGCCAAGGGCACGUCCGCCUGGGCGUCAAGC